CCUACGGGUGGCAGCAGUGAGGAAUAUUGGUCAAUGGACGCAAGUCUGAACCAGCCAAGUAGCGUGAAGGAUGACUGCCCUAUGGGUUGUAAACUUCUUUUAUAUGGGAAUAAACUGUUCCACGUGUGGGAUUUUGUAUGUACCAUAUGAAUAAGGAUCGGCUAACUCCGUGCCAGCAGCCGCGGUAAUACGGAGGAUCCGAGCGUUAUCCGGAUUUAUUGGGUUUAAAGGGAGCGUAGGUGGAUUGUUAAGUAAGUUGUGAAAGUUUGCGGCUUAACCGUAAAAUUGCCGUUGAAACUGGCAGUCUUGAGAACAGUAGAGGUAGGCGGAAUGCGUGGUGUAGCGGUGAAAUGCUUAGAUAUCACGAAGAACUCCGAUUGCGAAGGCAGCUUACUGGACUGCAACUGACGCUGAGGCUCGAAAGUGUGGGUAUCAAACAGGAUUAGAUACCCUAGUAGUC
rnacentral:rRNA from 1 species